AUUUUUAUUGUCCAAUUUCAAGUCUUGGUUAAUUUACAAUUUAGGAAUUGGUGGAAUUUGUUUUAAGGAGGGAAAUUCAAACAAGUCUUGGAGCCUUUUCAAAUUCAAGUUUUCAAGACUUGACUUUUAUAGUACUUUUCCUUAAAACAUGGACCCUUGUUUCAUGGGAAAGUGGUUGAGAAGUGAUGUAAAGUCUUUAGUGUGUAGGAAAAGUCUUUGAGUCACAAGUACUACACCUUGAAACUUGGAUCUAUGUCUUGCAAGACUAACACAAUACACA
rnacentral:lncRNA from 1 species